CACCCUGCCCAGGAGAGCAGGGCUCAGGCAUCCUGUGUACAUGUCCUGGGCUCCCUGGGGUGCUGCUGGGGACUGGGGUACUGCUGCUGCUCAUCCCCUUCGCUGAUGGAGGAAUCUCAUGCAAAGGAUUCCACAUCUGCCAAGGAACUCCAUAAUGAAGGAGGUUAUCAUCCAGGAGUUAUACCCUGCUUGUUUUUAAACCUGCAAAGGGAAGAUACUGUGAACAAAGCAGUGAAGGCUCUCAGGUUCCUCCCCAGGUGCCAGGAGAGGAGUGGGGCUGUUUUGGAUCACCUGAGCACAGGGCUGGAUGCAACUGGGUUCUCAACAUCUGAAAGGGAUGGCGAAAUAAAUUACACAGAUCCCUGUGCAAGUCUGAUCAAGCUCUCAAAGGUGACUUUUGUUCCACGGAGCCACACCUCAGCCUCUCACCUCACCGGGAGAGAAAACCUCCCAGACGUCUCAGUUUUGCAACCGAGCAGUUGUGCCCUUGUCGUGCUUCCAGCAUUUCCUCACAGCCCGCACUCAGAAACGAGGGCUGCGAGUCCCAGCCUCAGCAGGAACGUCUCCCCCAUCAUUAAAUAAUUGAGCUGCUCCUGCAAUCUGGAGCCCGGCAGCCCGAGACGCUACCUCAUAGCUGCUGGGUCGCUGGCACAGGUUUGACAAAACCCUUCAGGGAUGGCUACUGCAGGGAGGCUCUUUCCUGGCAGGUCCCAGCUUGGUUUGUUGGGUCAGUGGGGAGACAGACAGGGCUCGCCACGCCAGGCCCGUGCCAAGCCACGCUGGCCAAAAUUGGCUGAGCCCUGGCUGUACCUUCCAGAAGUACUGAAGAAGGGGUUUUGGUCCUUGGUUGAGGAAAGGAAGGAAAUUUAGGUAUCAGAGUCCUUGGGAGAUGCUGUUUUGCUGCCCUCUAGGCAAAGAUUAAAGCUUGAAAUGUGGAAACUACAGAAAAUGCUGUCCUGAGCACACCAAAGCAAAGCAAAGGGUUGGGAAGGUGGAAAGGCUUUUCGUGGGACUUCAUUAAGGUGUGAGUAUGAAAUCUGUAAAAAGAUCUCUGGCCUCAGAUAAGGGAGAUCCAGUGGUGUACAACAAAGAAUUAUCAGUAAAGGCAUCAUAAUUACAAAGUUCUUUUAUAUUAAAAUGAUGUCAUGUAAUAGGUUGAAGAACAAGAAAUAAAUAAGCUGUGCAGAUCUCCUUUAUCUAAAUA
rnacentral:lncRNA from 1 species